UACAGAGGUCUCAAGCGUUGUUCGGAUUCAUUGGGCGUAAAGGGUGCGUAGGCGGCGCGGUAAGUCGGGUGUGAAAUCUUGGAGCUUAACUCCGAAACUGCAUUCGAUACUGCCGUGCUUGAGGACUGGAGAGGAGACUGGAAUUUACGGUGUAGCGGUGAAAUGCGCAGAUAUCAGGAGGAACACCGGUGGCGAAGGCGGGUCUCUGGGCCGAAAUUGACGCUGAGGAGCGAAAGCGUGGGGGAGCAAACAGG
rnacentral:rRNA from 1 species